CCGGGAGAAGCCGAGAGAAGCUGCAGAGGCGGAGGCAGGCGUGGUCGUCGGCGUGGCUCCGACCACGGAUUGAUAUAAGUCUUGGUUGAUGUGGCUCUGCCUUUUGAUUCUCUUAUUUCUCCCCUUUCUCCAUUCCAUAUCUGAAUCCUCUUUCCUCUCCUUUUGUGCGGCGACCAAUACUGGGAGGGGAAUGACGAAUCAAACAUAGAAGAGGCUUGGACGAAAAAAGAUAUUCUUAUGUCACUGGCGAUUGAUGUUACAGUAAUAAGACAAUUGAUGUUCUCUGUGGCUUGCUGCUGAUUCUUGCAUUUUGGACAAGGAUCUGAGUGAGGAAAGUUACAAGAAGAAGAUCUGUAGGAGCAUGGCAACCAUGACCAAAAGGGUGAUUUUGAUGCACACGUAUUUGAUGAAAUGCAGAUUCCUAUCUAGGUGUUCAGAUUCAGCAAGGGGAAUCAUUCAGGUUUGAUCAGUUACCAGAAGGUCUACGUCUUACCAGAUUUAGAGUCCUCAAAAUGUGAUGUAUUCAUUCGAAGUGAAAAUUGCUGCUGGAGCUUGUGUUGCUUACUUUCACCAUGGGUUCUCGCCGGUCCUGAAGAGGGUCUUGACCCACAGCACAAAGACGACCUUGCCAUCGGCAUGAACCAAGCCCAGCGACUGUGUCAGAAGAAUAAUGAAGAUCCAAAAUUCUUCAGAUUUAGGGGAUUGUAAAUUCCCGACGUACCAAGAACAGUAGCAGUGAGUGACAUAGGUUGCUAAACAAAUGCCGUGCCUUGCAAUUCCUGAAUAUAGAGGUUUACAAGAGAAUAUAUGUGGUACAUGCGGCGUUCUUGCGGAUACAGAUUGAAGAACUUUAUAAUAUAUAGCUUGGAUUGGAGGAAAAUUGUUUGUAUGUCAGAAGUACAUGCGGCCUUUGAUUCACCAUUUUCCCUAAGCUAAACCAAACUGAGGGAGAUCUGAGGGGAAGAAAAAAGAUGCACCUGAUUUUGAUGCCGACCUGGUACAACAGCACGCCGGCGAGGUCGAAAGCCCUCAACCAUUGUCGCCAGCGAUCCAGUCUUGCUGCGGUCAAGGCGCUAUGUGAUGCAGGGAGGGCGGUUGAGCAGUCAGCAACAUCAAUUGGUGAAGAUAUGUGAAGAAUCAGGAGAUGUUUGACCAUCGACGGAUGGAAGGGGAUAAGAGGAGAAAGUAAGACAUGAGGCAGACAGAGCUAAAAUGGCUAUGGAGGCAGUGAGAUAAGUUCUACGGGUGUGGUGUGCGUGUGACCCUGUGUCACCUGUGUGUGCGUCGGUGGUCUGAGCAGGGCCCAAUAGUGAAUUUCAUAAAACAGUUGUGAGGUCCUGUGUGUCAUGUUGAUUUGUGCACAUGAUAUUCUUUAUUUUUUCAUUCUAUCACCAACCAGUAAAAUCCA